rnacentral:rRNA from 1 species
AUACGGAGGGUGCGAGCGUUAAUCGGAAUUACUGGGCGUAAAGCGUACGUAGGCGGUUGGUUGAGUUAGAUGUGAAAGCCCCGGGCUUAACCUGGGAACUGCAUUUAAAACUGGCGAACUAGAGUUGAGUAGAGGGGAGUGGAAUUUCAGGUGUAGCGGUGAAAUGCGUAGAGAUCUGAAGGAACACCAGUGGCGAAGGCGACUCCCUGGACUCGAACUGACGCUGAGGUACGAAAGCGUGGGUAGCAAACGGGAUUAGAAACCCUAGUAGUCC